rnacentral:piRNA from 1 species
UUAUAAAUCACUGGAUUAGGGCUGUC